GAUGAACGCUAGCGACAGGCCUAACACAUGCAAGUCGAGGGGCAGCACAUGAGUAGCAAUACGAUGGUGGCGACCGGCGCAUGGGUGAGUAACACGUAUGCAACCUGCCUGUAAGAGGGGAAUAACCCGGAGAAAUUCGGACUAAUACCGCAUAAUACCACGAGACUGCAUGGUUUUGUGGUUAAACAUUUAUGGCUUACAGAUGGGCAUGCGUAUGAUUAGAGAGUUGGUAGGGUAACGGCCUACCAAGUCUACGAUCAUUAGGGGUUCUGAGAGGAAGGUCCCCCACACUGGUACUGAGACACGGACCAGACUCCUACGGGAGGCAGCAGUGAGGAAUAUUGGUCAAUGGGCGAGAGCCUGAACCAGCCAAGUCGCGUGAAGGAAGAAGGUUCUAUGGAUUGUAAACUUCUUUUGCGGGGGAAUAAAGGACGGUACGUGUACUGUUUUGUAUGUACCUUGCGAAUAAGGAUCGGCUAACUCCGUGCCAGCCGCCGCCGUAAGAC
rnacentral:rRNA from 1 species